rnacentral:lncRNA from 1 species
UAAGUGUAUACAAAAUUUUAACAGCCUUGGCGGACUCGGUUAGAUGCCUUGCGCAAGGUAUCACCGAGUAUGAGUUUUGGCACGAGCCAAAGUUUUAAGAAAUUCAUAAGCCAAGUUGAUUACUCGAUUUUUAUGGAUUGAUUUUAUUUGGUUGAAAUGAGUUGAAUGGUAAUGAAAUUACAGUAUGAUGAUUUAUUUUAAUUGUCUCCAUUUACUCGACUUUAGAUAGUUUAGAUGGUAUCUGUUUACUCACUGAGAUUUUAUAAUCUCACCACCCUUAUUUCCUCACAUUUCAGGCUCAGGGAAUUCCAUAGUUAGCUGACUUGAACAAGGACCUUCAUUUGGACUCGAAUCGGUAAAAGCUGUAGGUUUCCAGCUUCCGAUGCAUUUUGGAUAGAUAUGGGCCCACGUGUCACUGUAAAAGAAAUUUU